AUAAGAAAUAGGUAAUCUCCAUCAUGAGGUUUAGAGUAAUAUUUUAGUUACCUCUAAUCCUUGGAAUGCAGAUUAUCAUUUCCUUAU
rnacentral:pre_miRNA from 1 species